GUCUCCGUUGCGCAAUCGGCUAGUGCGUUCGGCAGUUAACCGAAGGGUUGGUGGUUCGACACCACCCGGGGGCG